GACGUGGGGCGCGAGCGUUGUCCGGAUUUAUUGGGCGUAAAGCGCUCGUAGGCGGUUUGUCGCGUCUGCUGUGAAAACUCGGGGCUUAACUCCGGGCCUGCAGUGGGUACGGGCAGACUAGAGUGCGGUAGGGGAGACUGGAAUUCCUGGUGUAGCGGUGAAAUGCGCAGAUAUCAGGAGGAACACCAGCGGCGAAGGCGGCGCUCUGGGCCGGUACUGACGCUGAGGAGCGAAAGCGUGGGGAGCAAACAGG
rnacentral:rRNA from 1 species